rnacentral:rRNA from 1 species
UACGGAGGGUGCAAGCGUUAUCCGGAAUCACUGGGUUUAAAGGGUGCGUAGGCGGUCUGAUAAGUCAGUUGUGAAAUUCCUCGGCUUAACCGAGUGGACUGCGAUUGAUACUGUCAGACUUGAAUCAGGUUGAGGUAGGCGGAAUGUGACAUGUAGCGGUGAAAUGCUUAGAUAUGUCAUAGAACACCGAUUGCGAAGGCAGCUUGCUGGGCUUAGAUUGACGCUGAGGCACGAAGGUCAGGGGAGCAAACGGG